rnacentral:rRNA from 1 species
GGUGAACCUGCGGAGGGAUCAUUACUGAGUACUACACUCUCUACCCUUUGUGAACUAUUAUACCUGUUGCUUCGGCGGCGCCCGCGAGGGCGCCCGCCGGUCUCAUCAGAAUCUCUGUUUUCGAACCCGACGAUACUUCUGAGUGUUCUUAGCGAACUGUCAAAACUUUUAACAACGGAUCUCUUGGCUCCAGCAUCGAUGAAGAACGCAGCGAAACGCGAUAUGUAAUGUGAAUUGCAGAAUUCAGUGAAUCAUCGAAUCUUUGAACGCACAUGGCGCCUUCCAGUAUCCUGGGAGGCAUGCCUGUCCGAGCGUCGUUUCAACCCUCGAGCCCCCCGUGGCCCGGCGUUGGGGAUCUGCCACGGCAGGCCCCUAAAACCAGUGGCGGACCCGCUGGGCCCUCUCCUUUGCGCAGUAGCAUCAGCCUCGCAUCGGGAGCCCUCGGCGUCCUGCCUCUAAACCCCCCACAAGCCCGCUCCGGCGGCACCAAGGUUGACCUCGGAUCAGGUAGGAAUACCCGCUGAACUUAAGCAUAUCAAUAAGGCGGAGG